rnacentral:rRNA from 1 species
GUAUAGAGGGUGAAUUCUGCCCAAUGGUUGUAUAGUGAAACUAAGGACUAACGUCUAAAGCGAAACCCAACUGAAUGGCCGCGGUAACUCUGACCGUGAUAAUGUAGCACAAUAAAUAGCCAAUUAAUUGUUGGCGGGUAUGAAUGGAACCACGAGGGUCUUACUGUCUCAAGAGAAAAGCCGAUGAAAUUAUAGUUGUAGUGAAGAUACUACAUAAACAUGUAAGACGAAAAGACCCUAUCGAGCUUUACUGGAUACCGAUAGCGUUAACUUAAAAUGAUCGAUACUAAGUAUCCUAAUUUUGAGUUAAUAAUUUUUGUUGGUGGGACAGUUUAGUUGGGGCGACUACCUUUGAAUAAGAAACGAAGGCGAGCUUAUGGUAUACAAGCUAUCACAUUAGCCUGACAGUGAGGGGGACACCCCUAGCUGGCACAAGGAAGUCCUAUGUGGGCGAUAAUGACCCGAUAUUAUUGUUUAAAAUAAUAUCGAAAGCGGAUAAAAGCUACCGUAGGGAUAACAGCGUAAUAUUGUCGGAGAGUUCUUAUCGAGGACAGUGUUUGCGACCUCGAUGUUGAAUUGCGGUGCCCUGGUGCUGUAGAAGGUACCUUAGGUUGGUC